ensembl:lncRNA TTTY14 testis expressed transcript, Y-linked 14
GGGGCGGGCCAAUGGCUGUGACGGAUAAGGGGUGUGGGGUGCGGGGACAAUGGGCCAGAGCUUCUCAUGCAGCCUGCACCAGCGCCGGGUCGGAGAGUCAGAGGCCACCCUGAGAUGGACCGAGAUCUUCAGUUGGGGAGGCGCCUCCGGUGAGCUUGCGGCCAGAUGCCCCCUCAGUAGUCCUCCGCAACAGGUGCCGCGCAGCCGAGUGGCGGGCUAGCAUACCGCCUGCCCGCAAUUCGGCCAGGCCUCGAGCCUGCUCCGCCUUCCCGCUGCGGUAGCGCCGCCGGGGAAACGCCGCCACGGGCUGCAUGGGCAGCGCUCGCGCCCCGCCGCUGAGCCGCCGGGGAGCCGUCCAGUCUUCGAAUCCCAGUAAGAGACGCCGCUGGCCUAGGGACAGUGGUUGGGGCUGGCCCGGGGCAUUCGCGCGGCCUUGCAGCCUGCAGGCCUUCCCAGCCGACAGAGCUGCUG